UACAGAGGGUGCAAGCGUUAAUCGGAAUUACUGGGCGUAAAGCGCGCGUAGGUGGUUUGUUAAGUUGGAUGUGAAAUCCCCGGGCUCAACCUGGGAACUGCAUUCAAAACUGACAAGCUAGAGUAUGGUAGAGGGUGGUGGAAUUUCCUGUGUAGCGGUGAAAUGCGUAGAUAUAGGAAGGAACACCAGUGGCGAAGGCGACCACUUGGACUGAUACUGACACUGAGGUGCGAAAGCGUGGGGAGCAAACAGG
rnacentral:rRNA from 1 species